UUCAUACCUGGAAAAAGCGUAUGUGUCAAGCCAGGCAGGUAAUCACAUAUAGGAAGACCACAAUGCAGCCAGAUAUUUUAC